UUAAGACAAUCAAAUUCACCAUUAGGACCAACCUCAAUAACUUAGACCCAUCUACAACCAACUGCCUUCUUUCCUGAGGAAGACAAACCAAUUCAUAUGUACCACUAUGUUUAAUAGUAUGCAUUUCAUAAAUCAAGGCUUGUUGCCAUCCAGGGUGAACAAGUGUUUCAUACAUAUUUUUAGGAAUUGUAAGAGAUGACACG
rnacentral:lncRNA from 1 species